CAACAGGGAUUGCCCUAGUAACGGCGAGUGAAGCGGCAACAGCUCAAAUUUGAAAUCUGGCUCUCGGGCCCGAGUUGUAAUUUGUAGAGGAUGCUUUUGGUGCGGUGCCUUCCGAGUUCCCUGGAACGGGACGCCAUAGAGGGUGAGAGCCCCGUCUGGUUGGAUGCCAAUCCUCUGUAAAGCUCCUUCGACGAGUCGAGUAGUUUGGGAAUGCUGCUCUAAAUGGGAGGUAUAUGUCUUCUAAAGCUAAAUACCGGCCAGAGACCGAUAGCGCACAAGUAGAGUGAUCGAAAGAUGAAAAGAACUUUGAAAAGAGAGUUAAAAAGUACGUGAAAUUGUUGAAAGGGAAGCGCUUGUGACCAGACUUGGGCUUGGUUGAUCAUCCAGGGUUCUCCCUGGUGCACUCUUCCGGCUCAGGCCAGCAUCAGUUUGCCUCGGGGGAUAAAGGCUUCGGGAAUGUGGCUCUCUCCGGGGAGUGUUAUAGCCCGCUGCGUAAUACCCUGUGGCGGACUGAGGUUCGCGCAUUCGCAAGGAUGCUGGCGUAAUGGUCAUCAGUGACCCGUCUUGAAACACGGACCAAGGAGUCGUCUUCGUAUGCGAGUGUUCGGGUGUCAAACCCCUACGCGAAAUGAAAGUGAACGCAGGUGAGAGCUUCGGCGCAUCAUCGACCGAUCCUGAUGUUCUCGGAUGGAUUUGAGUAAGAGCAUACGGAGCCGGACCCGAAAGAAGGUGAACUAUGCCUGUGUAGGGUGAAGCCAGAGGAAACUCUGGUGGAGGCUCGCAGCGGUUCUGACGUGCAAAUCGAUCGUCAAACAUGGGCAU
rnacentral:rRNA from 1 species